rnacentral:rRNA from 1 species
GUCGCUACUACCGAUUGGAUGGUUUAGUGAGGACGUUGGACCGGCAGCCGGCGAGGUUUCCGAGCUGGCACGUCGGGAAGACGUUCGAACUUGAUCAUCUAGAGGGAGUAA